rnacentral:rRNA from 1 species
GUGCAUGUCCUGCGGUACUCGGCUUCGGAUGCUGACGAGUGGCCAACGGGUUAUGGCCCAUCGGAACGUGCCCGCACUUGGGGUAUAACUAGGCGAAUCCUUUGUUUGGCCGACCGCGAUCUAUGGAAAAACCAGGGCUGACCGAGGGCGUCGGUGCCAGCCACCCCGGUCAAGCAAAUUAGGUAGUUGGUGGGAUAAAAGCUUACCAAGCCGACGAUCUGUAGCUGGUCUGAGAGGACGACCAGCCACACUGGGACUGAGACACGGCCCAGACUCCUACGGGAGGCAGCAGUGGGGAAUUUUGGACAAUGGGCGAAAGCCUGAUCCAGCAAUGCCGCGUGCAGGAUGAAGGCCUUCGGGUUGUAAACUGCUUUUGUACGGAACGAAAAGGCUCUGGCUAAUACCUGGGGCACAUGACGGUACCGUAAGAAUAAGCACCGGCUAACUACAUGCCAGCC